rnacentral:tRNA from 1 species
GCGAGGGUGGCGGAACUGGUAUACGUGCUGGAUUUAGGAUCCAGUGGGGCAACCCGUGGGAGUUCGAGUCUCCCCCCUCGCA